UAACUUUGAAAAAACAAACACUAACAUACGUAGUGUUAUGAUAACAGUUAACUUAGAAAAAAAAAACAAACAUAAACCAAUUCCAUACCCUAACAUACGCUUUUAGUCAUGCUCGACCAAAACCCUAGCUCCCCUUCCCCUUCCACGCAGCCCCUCCAGAUGCAGCCCCUCACGCAGCCCCUCUAGACGCAGCAUUCCCCUUCGAUUCAAGGGCGGACCUAAGGCUAGACCAGGGUGGGCGGGCGCACCCCCGGGAAAAAAAAAAUUUAGUGCUAAGUUCCGUUGAAAAUCCCGUCCGCACCUCUUGGAAUUUUUCGCCCGCAUCCCAUGGAAUUUUCUGUCCGCACCUCUUGGACAUUUUCGUCCGCACCCCUUAGGUAAAAAGCGUUUUCAGUUUAUAUUUUAAAAAUAUUCUUUAGUAACUCCUAUUUUAUAAAAAAUGCUACAUAAAUUAUUUUACUUUUAAUACCUAAAUAACUAAACCCAAAUACCUAAUACAUUUAACUAGCCCACUACUAAGUCUUAGCCCAAUAAACAAACCCAACAAAUCAUCAAUAUUUCAAACUAAAAUAAAAUAAACUAGCCCAAAACCGUUACAUAUUCUAUCAUGCUCUCUUUAUUGUCCUUGCACGCCAGCGAUCAGAACAUCAACAGCGACAACAGUGAACAGUCAGCAGCCGCAUACCACCGUAAUCAGCCACGGGUAAGUUUCUUUGUUAUUUUUUAUGAUUUUUGGUUGGUUUUUGGUUGAUAUUAUCCACCUCCAGCGGCCUAUUAUAGCCGCGUACUAACCAUAGUAGACAUGUGCUUCAUUUUGUUUUCAUUAUGUUAUGGUGGGUUAUAUAAAUUAAGUUCUUUUAUUUUACAUGACCCGACUCGACCCGAACCGACACGAUACGAACCGAUUUUUUAUUUAUAUACCUUGUGGCCUAAAAUUUUUAAAAAUGUUACGCACCCCCAUGGAAAAAUUCCUAGAUCCGCCACUGCUUCGAUUCCCCUCCAGACAGAGCAUUCCCCUUCUACGCAGCCCUGCAGACGCAGCAUUCCUCUCUAGACGACGGAAGCAUUCCCCCUUCGAUUCCCCCUUUGAGAGCGUGUAAGCAACAAAAGGGUGGAUGGGAAUGCGGCUACAUAGUUCUCCAACAUAUGUUUGACUUUGUCAAUUUGUAUCAAAACCAGUUUCCCGAUGAAAUGUGGCACGACACGAGAGAGGCAACGGAUAAUGAGAUAGAUGUUUUGUUGAUGACGUUGAUGCCGAAGUUUUUUAGGGAGUUAGGUAUUUCGUUAGAUUAGCGUAUGUAGUUUAUUUAUGCAAUUUAACGUAGCUUGUUAUGUAUUCACAAAUGAUUGUAAUUUGACGGUUUAUUUCCGAAUUGGAUGUCUACGGGUUUAUUUUUGAUUUGAAUAUGUAUUAUUUUGGUUUGAUUUGAAAAUGUUCCAUUGGUGUAUGUAU